CAUCAUAGUAGAUUCUUCAGCAUUUCAGGUGUCUAACAGAUUUAAGUAUUUUCACAUCACUAGCGUAGUUUUCUAAAUUGUCAGAGGGAUACUACCACUGUUUCUACAGUAUUUCAAUAAUACCACACUUCUUAUUCGGCGGAGAAAAUGUCGAGGCUGCAGGAACAACGAGCUUUGAUGACCUAUUUGAACGUGUUACUUCCCCUGAAGCUGUUCAAGUGUUGAAAGCCCGCGGCUAUCAACAUUUGGUCCUGCAGGUUGGACGAAGCUCCAUCUUCGCAGAUUCAGACAGCUGUCACAAGCUCACGUUUAGAGGCCUUUAAAUUCAAGGAUUCCACCGCUGAAGAUGUCAAAUGUGCCAAUCUGGAUAUCAGCCAUGAUGUUGUGUACAAUGUCCGAAGAAAUAAAAAAGCUAAACUACCAA